CAUCAGUGCACAUGCCCCACAGGUAAGUUGUGAGAUGAAGGUGAAAGAAGAUUUCUGGAGUGAGUUUGAUGAGGUGGUGAAGAGUUUGCCCAAACAUGAAAGAGUAGUGAUUGAAGCAGACUUCAAUGAGCAUGUCUAUGACAGAAGCAGAGA